rnacentral:rRNA from 1 species
UACGGGGGGGCAAGGCGUUGUUCGGAAUUACUGGGCGUAAAGGGCUCGUAGGCGGCCAACUAAGUCAGACGUGAAAUCCCUACGGCUUAACCGGGGAACUGCGUCUGAUACUGGAUGGCUUGAGUUUGGGAGAGGGAUGCGGAAUUCCAGGUGUAGGCGGUGAAAUGCGUAGAUAUCUGGAGGAAUACCGGUGGCGAAGGCGGCCUGCUGGGCAGUGCUGACACUGAGGCGCGACAGCGUGGGGAGCAAACAGG